GGGCGUAUGGCGAAAUGGUUACCGCGUUCGACUUCGGAUCGAAAGAUUGCAGGUUCAAGUCCUGCUACGCUCG